rnacentral:snRNA from 1 species
AAGGCUUGUUUCUUUUAGUAUUUGUCUAGUAGGUUUCAUCAAAGAAGAAGCCCCC